UGCAGUCGAGCGAGUCUGCCUUGAAGAUCGGAGUGCUUGCACUCUGUGAAACAAGAUACAGGCUAGCGGCGGACGGGUGAGUAACACGUGGGUAACCUGCCUAAGAGAUCGGGAUAACACCUGGAAACAGAUGCUAAUACCGGAUAACAACAGAUGAUGCCUAUCAACUGUUUAAAAGAUGGUUCUGCUAUCACUCUUGGAUGGACCUGCGGUGCAUUAGCUAGUUGGUAGGGUAACGGCCUACCAAGGCGAUGAUGCAUAGCCGAGUUGAGAGACUGAUCGGCCACAUUGGGACUGAGACACGGCCCAAACUCCUACGGGAGGCAGCAGUAGGGAAUCUUCCACAAUGGACGCAAGUCUGAUGGAGCAACGCCGCGUGAGUGAAGAAGGGUUUCGGCUCGUAAAGCUCUGUUGUUGGUGAAGAAGGACAGGGGUAGUAACUGACCUUUGUUUGACGGUAAUCAAUUAGAAAGUCACGGCUAACUACGUGCCAGCAGCCGCGGUAAUACGUAGGUGGCAAGCGUUGUCCGGAUUUAUUGGGCGUAAAGCGAGUGCAGGCGGCUCGAUAAGUCUGAUGUGAAAGCCUUCGGCUCAACCGGAGAAUUGCAUCAGAAACUGUCGAGCUUGAGUACAGAAGAGGAGAGUGGAACUCCAUGUGUAGCGGUGAAAUGCGUAGGUAUAUGGAAGAACACCGGUGGCGAACGCGGCUCUCUGGUCUGUUACUGACGCUGAGGCUCGAAAGCAUGGGUAGCGAACAGGAUUAGAUACCCUGGUAGUCCAUGCCGUAAACGAUGAGUGCUAAGUGUUGGGAGGUUUCCGCCUCUCAAUGCUGCAGCUAACGCAUUAAGCACCCCGCCUGGGGAGUA
rnacentral:rRNA from 1 species